UACUUCCGAUGCAAUCAAUUUCAAAUUCUUUGUACGGUUUCGUCUCAGCCUUUCAUUUCUUUUCUACGGCCACGAUCCCGCCAUCCUUUUUGUCUUAUAUACGGCAUUAAUUAGGUCAUCUUAAUUGCCGCCGUCUCUUCAUCAUUCUAGCCGGCCUCAGAACUUGCUUCGACACGAUGAUACGACGCGACGGCUUCCUUUUUCUUCGCUAAGCUUUUUCCUCAAGCUUCAUUCUUUUUGCCUUUUUCUUUUCUUUCUAUCGUCUUCUCCGCUUAUCUCUCUUCUAUCUGAAUUUUAACCCACUUCUUUCCAUCCUUAGGGUUUUUCUUCACUUUUCCUUAGUUUUAGGAAUGACGCCGCUUCCGGCUCUUCUGUCUUCUUCGUCUUUAGAUUAUAACAUAUUUAGACAGUUCGUCGAAUCGGACCCUUCUCGAUUCAUUUUAGGUCCUUCUUUCACAGACGAACCGACCUCUAACGAUUUCCCAUUUUCUAG
rnacentral:lncRNA from 1 species